GAAAAAGGAAGAGAAGCAAAAUACUCUGAGGUUUCCUUGAAACAAAACCCUUGACAAAACCUUGAGAGAAACCUGACAGAGAACUCAGAGCAACCCCCAGGCAGCUCUGAAAAAUUCAAUCUGACUCACACACUUUCAUCUCACGCAAACCCUAACAUUGCCUUGCAAACCCAGUCGUGCCAUUUGAUUUCAACCGGUCUCUCCCAUCAGGUUUGCCUCAUUCCCAUGAUUUUAUGCUCUUAAUUUGGAUCAUCUGAAUGUAUGAGGUAUGAUGGAUGAAUUUCAUUAUGUUUUUGCCCACGGGUUUAAUUAUGCAUGAAUGGGUGAAACCUAUGCCUUGAAU
rnacentral:lncRNA from 1 species